rnacentral:piRNA from 1 species
GAAAUAAAGAGGAUAAACAAGGAAC